AUGCAAGUCGAGCGGACAGAAGGGAGCUUGCUCCCGGAUGUUAGCGGCGGACGGGUGAGUAACACGUGGGUAACCUGCCUGUAAGACUGGGAUAACUCCGGGAAACCGGAGCUAAUACCGGAUAGUUCCUUGAACCGCAUGGUUCAAGGAUGAAAGACGGUUUCGGCUGUCACUUACAGAUGGACCCGCGGCGCAUUAGCUAGUUGGUGAGGUAACGGCUCACCAAGGCGACGAUGCGUAGCCGACCUGAGAGGGUGAUCGGCCACACUGGGACUGAGACACGGCCCAGACUCCUACGGGAGGCAGCAGUAGGGAAUCUUCCGCAAUGGACGAAAGUCUGACGGAGCAACGCCGCGUGAGUGAUGAAGGUUUUCGGAUCGUAAAGCUCUGUUGUUAGGGAAGAACAAGUGCAAGAGUAACUGCUUGCACCUUGACGGUACCUAACCAGAAAGCCACGGCUAACUACGUGCCAGCAGCCGCGGUAAUACGUAGGUGGCAAGCGUUGUCCGGAAUUAUUGGGCGUAAAGGGCUCGCAGGCGGUUUCUUAAGUCUGAUGUGAAAGCCCCCGGCUCAACCGGGGAGGGUCAUUGGAAACUGGGAAACUUGAGUGCAGAAGAGGAGAGUGGAAUUCCACGUGUAGCGGUGAAAUGCGUAGAGAUGUGGAGGAACACCAGUGGCGAAGGCGACUCUCUGGUCUGUAACUGACGCUGAGGAGCGAAAGCGUGGGGAGCGAACAGGAUUAGAUACGCUGGUAGUCCACGCCGUAAACGAUGAGUGCUAAGUGUUAGGGGGUUUCCGCCCCUUAGUGCUGCAGCUAACGCAGUAAGCACUCCGCCUGCG
rnacentral:rRNA from 1 species